rnacentral:tRNA from 1 species
GCACCCGUAGCUUAAUUGGAUAGAGCAUUCGGCUACGAACCGAACGGUUGGAGGUUCGAAUCCUCUCGGGUGUA